rnacentral:lncRNA from 1 species
GGGAUCCCUUGGGUCAGAGUCGUCUACCCGGUGGACAGAAGUCUUUUCUGGCAUGGGAGCCAAGCAGCCAGCCCCAAAGUCGCUCCCAAAGCACUGGCGGUUGCGAUUUUGCCGCCAGCACCGUGGCGGCUGCGGCUCCGGGAGCUCGCCCUGCUUCGAGGCGGGGCCUUGUAGCCGUCGGCCUCGCGUAGGUGUGGGUUUGACAAGUCUUCGCUCCGUCCACACUAAAGGUGCGGGAGAGGACCACCGACGACUGGCGACCCCACCAGCCUUCACCUUUGAAAGGAAGGCGCAGCUUGCGAGCAUUUUGCCGAGAACCUUGGAGAGUCGGCCAGGGUCCCAGUGUGGGGCACCUUGCCGCCCUCCCUGUGUCCUGCGGUGGUCCCCAAGCCCAGCGGGGGCCUGAGCCUGAGGACCGUAAACGUGACCUGCUUCAGCCUUAGAUGAGAAAGGUCCAAAAAGAAGCCAGGGAUUGGAUCUGAACCGUGGGAAUCGGCUUGUUGUGUGUGGUCCAGUGGAUUUAUCGUCGAGAUUGUAUUCCUUUCCAUGUUUAGGCUUAAAAUUCCUUUCCAAAAACAAUGGAAAAGGAGAAGCAGAUUUUUGUUUUGUUUGUACUGGGGAUUGAACCCACGGUCGCUUUACCGGUGAGGUACAUCCCCAGCCCUUUUAAUUUUUUUGUUUUGAGACAGGGUCCCAUAUAGUUGCUGAGGCUGGCCUGGAUCUUUCUAUCCUCCUGCCUCAGAAUAUGGAGUCGCAGGGAUUACAGGCAUGGGCCACCUUGCCUGGCUAACAAUGCAGUCUCUAUCCUAUUGGUUCUCUCAGGUGGAGCAGGGCCAACAUUUAUUUCCUUACAACUUUUCUGUAAACUUUACAUUUCUACAAAGGUACUCAAUGAAUUGUUAGUCAUUGCUCGCAAGAAUGAGUCCUAACUUAAAGGGAGUAUGAAGCACUGAUGAUUUCUGCCCCAGCAAGGUUUUAGUCCUGCAGCAAAAAUCAGGAAAUGACGUCAUUCCCCAGCCAAGCCCCUUACCCUCAAUGCAGGUUCUCUAACUCUGUGUGUGUAUAUGUGUGUAUAAAUACGUAUAUGUGCACAGACACACACACACACAUACACAUUCUCCUGAGAAAGAUUAUACUUUAGUGUGUGUGUUUGAAUAACUGUUUCCAAAUAGAAAUUCAUUAACCAACCUAAAAUGUGCAGUUCCUUAUGUACUAUUGGUUCAUUUUUGACAUAUUUUAUUUAUCAUAUUUUUUAAACUGUGGACAAAAGUUGUUUGUUCCACUAACAUUCUGUUAUUAUAAUUUGGUUUAAAAGUACAGAAUUUCCACCAAACAAGACCAGCUGCAGUUGUGAUUGAUGGCAAACAGUCAUUUUAGGCAUAUGACUAUAACUCCUAAUAGACAUGAGUGGAAUGAAUUCAAGUGAGAUGUUGAUAUUAACUUUAUAUACAAUUAAAUGAAAC